AUUGAACGCUGGCGGCAGGCCUAACACAUGCAAGUCGAGCGGAUGAGAGGAGCUUGCUUCUCGAUUCAGCGGCGGACGGGUGAGUAAUGCCUAGGAAUCUGCCUGAUAGUGGGGGACAACGUUUCGAAAGGAACGCUAAUACCGCAUACGUCCUACGGGAGAAAGCAGGGGACCUUCGGGCCUUGCGCUAUCAGAUGAGCCUAGGUCGGAUUAGCUAGUUGGUGAGGUAAUGGGUCACCAAGGCGACGAUCCGUAACUGGUCUGAGAGGAUGAUCAGUCACACUGGAACUGAGACACGAUCCAGACUCCUACGGGAGGCAGCAGUGGGGAAUAUUGGACAAUGGGCGAAAGCCUGAUCCAGCCAUGCCGCGUGUGUGAAGAAGGUCUUCGGAUUGUAAAGCACUUUAAGUUGGGAGGAAGGGUUGUAGAUUAAUACUCUGCAAUUUUGACGUUACCGACAGAAUAAGCACCGGCUAACUCUGUGCCAGCAGCCGCCGUAACAC
rnacentral:rRNA from 1 species